rnacentral:rRNA from 1 species
AGCGAACGCUGGCGGCAGGCUUAACACAUGCAAGUCGAGCGGGCACUUUCGGGUGUCAGCGGCGGACGGGUGAGUAACGCGUGGGAACGUGCCCUCUGGUUCGGAAUAACUCAGGGAAACUUGAGCUAAUACCGGAUACGCCCUUUUGGGGAAAGGCUUGCUGCCGGAGGAUCGGCCCGCGUCUGAUUAGCUAGUUGGUGAGGUAACGGCUCACCAAGGCGACGAUCAGUAGCUGGUCUAAGAGGAUGAUCAGCCACACUGGGACUGAGACACGGCCCAGACUCCUACGGGAGGCAGCAGUGGGGAAUAUUGGACAAUGGGCGCAAGCCUGAUCCAGCCAUGCCGCGUGAGUGAUGAAGGCCUUAGGGUUGUAAAGCUCUUUUAUCCGGGACGAUAAUGACGGUACCGGAGGAAUAAGCCCCGGCUAACUUCGUG